UACGGAGGGGGCAAGCGUUAUCCGGAUUCACUGGGUUUAAAGGGAGCGUAGGUGGGAUGGUAAGUCAGUGGUGAAAUCUCCGGGCUUAACUCGGAAACUGCCGUUGAUACUAUCAUUCUUGAAUAUUGUGGAGGUAAGCGGAAUAUGUCAUGUAGCGGUGAAAUGCUUAGAUAUGACAUAGAACACCAAUAGCGAAGGCAGCUUGCUACACAAUUAUUGACACUGAGGCGCGAAAGCGUGGGGAGCAAACAGG
rnacentral:rRNA from 1 species